rnacentral:rRNA from 1 species
GAAAGCAUCUAAGCACGAAACUUGCCAAGAGAUGAGUUCUCCCAGACUUUAGGUCUGUAAGGGUUGUUUAAGACGAAGACGUAGAUAGGCGUGGUGUGUAAGCGUAGUGAUAUGUUGAGCUAACACGUACUAAUUGCCCGAGGGACUUAGCCAUACAACGCUCAAG